UCAGGUGGUUAUAGCACGAGGGUUCCACCUCUUCCCAUUCCGAACAGAGAAGUUAAGCCUC
rnacentral:rRNA from 1 species